GCCAUUUUUAUUCGCUCUCCUUCCAAAUAAAACGGAAGAAACUAACGUUCGUUUAUUAUACGCUUGAUUUUGAGCUUUCAAGCAUAAAUGCAUUAAAAAAUGUGUUCCCAAAUACGUCAUUACAUUGAUGUUUUUUUUUUCAUUUUUCACUAGUUCUAUGGAGACACAUCCAACUUUGCAUCCUAUUGGACAAAGCUCAUAUUGAAAUUUGCAAGGACGUAAACGAAAUUGCCGAUUUAAAAGUGGUUUUAGCAAAAUAUCUAUUAUUUGGUAAUAGUCCAAAAUAAAUAGGUUAUAGGAAAAUAAUAUACUUUAAAUGUAUUUUAAAGAAAACAUUACAGACGAUAAUAUUUCAUUAUUAUUAUACUAUUUAUACUCAUACAUGUAUAUUACAUAGUGUACCUGUAUAAUUUUAGGUUGUGGUUAUUAUUUGGUAGACACCUAUAUUGUAUUAUAUUAAUCAUCCCUGACGUUCAAUUACUAACAACAAAUUAAAACAAAUCUAAAAUAUUCCUCUUUUUUUUUUUGUAAAAAAAUAUGUUGAAUGGAAUACAAUUUAAUAGAAAAAGUUACGACAGUUAAAUACGUACUACAGAAG